AAUGAACGUUGGCGGCGUGGAUUAGGCAUGCAAGUCGAGCGAGAACCCAGCAAUGGGGGACAGCGGCGCAAGGGACAGUAAUGUGUAGAUCAUCUGCCCUCAGGACCGGGAUAGCUGCGGGAAACUGCAGGUAAUACCGGAUAACAUCUCCGGCUCAAAGGUGUGAUUCCGCCUGAGGAUGAGUCUACAUCCUAUUAGCUAGUUGGUAGGGUAACGGCCUACCAAGGCGAUGAUGGGUAGCGGGUGUGAGAGCACGACCCGCGUCAUUGGGAAUGAGACACUGCCCAGACACCUACGGGUGGCUGCAGUCGAGAAUCUUGGGCAAUGGGCGCAAGCCUGACCGAGCGACGCCGCGUGUGGGAUGAAGGCCUUCGGGUUGUAAACCACUGUUAGAGGGGAUGAAAUGCAGGUGGGUUCUCCCAUCUGUUUGACAUAGCCUCAGAGGAAGGACGGGCUAAGUUCGUGCCAGCCGCCGCCGUAACAC
rnacentral:rRNA from 1 species